rnacentral:tRNA from 1 species
GGGGCUGUGGCUCAGGGUAAGAGCCUCUGCUUUGCAUACAGAAGAUGCCAGGUUCAGUCCCUGGCAUCUCCA